rnacentral:rRNA from 1 species
UACGAGGGGAGCAAGCGUUGUUCGGAUUUACUGGGCGUAAAGGGCGCGUAGGCGGCGUGACAAGUCACUUGUGAAAUCUCCGGGCUUAACCCGGAAAGGUCAAGUGAAACUGUCGUGCUAGAGUACAGAAGGGGCAACUGGAAUUCUCGGUGUAGCGGUGAAAUGCGUAGAUAUCGAGAGGAACACCUGCGGCGAAGGCGGGUUGCUGGGCUGAUACUGACGCUGAGGAGCGAAAGCCAGGGGAGCAAACGGG